CGUGUAGGUGGGGAAGCAAGUCCGGUGGGAAAGCCCGCGGCUCAACCGCGGAAGUUCGCUGGAAACUGCUACUCUUGAGGGUGAUAGAGGGAAGUGGAAUUGCUGGUGUAGCGGUGAAAUGCGUAGAUAUCAGCAGGAACACCCGUGGCGAAGGCGGCUUCCUGGAUCACCCCUGACGCUGAGACGCGAAAGCGUGGGGAGCGAACG
rnacentral:rRNA from 1 species